rnacentral:lncRNA from 1 species
CUCAAAAUCAACAAAGAGUUCAUCAAAUGACUUUAGAAGACGAAGAGUGGGCUUAUCGACUGGACCACCCCGAGGGAGGAGUUUAGCAUCAACAGUGUGAGCAAAAUUGAUCUCAGCUCGUAGCUUUUCAGCUAGUGUUAGAUAGUUCUCAAAUUUUUCUCCAGAGGGUUCUGGAAAUAUACCGACCUAAAGAAAUAUAAAUAGAGUUUCAGACAGCAACAAGCUAUGGAACGCUGGAGAAACAAUUUCCAUAAUCCAUAAUGAGAAGUGAGGAAACAAUGAGCCAAAAGAAAUCACCACUUACAACAAAGAUCUUUUUCUCAUCAAUAAGGUUUGCCGCAUCCUCCUUCGAUUUGAUUUCAGGAGAUGCAGGUUUUUCAGCUAAUGUUAGAUAGUUCUCAAAUUCUUCUCCAGAGGCUUCUGGAAAUAUACCAACCUAAAGAAAUAUAAAUUGAUUUUCAGGCAGCAAGAAUCUAUGGCAUAUGUGAGAAUACAUUUCUGUAAUGAGAAGUGAGGAAACAAUCAGCCAAAAGUAACC